UUGAGCCUACGGGACGCAGCAGUGGGGAAUAUUGCACAAUGGGGGAAACCCUGAUGCAGCGACGCCGCGUGAGCGAAGAAGUAUUUCGGUAUGUAAAGCUCUAUCAGCAGGAAAGAAAAUGACGGUACCUGACUAAGAAGCUCCGGCUAAAUACGUGCCAGCAGCCGCGGUAAUACGUAUGGAGCAAGCGUUAUCCGGAUUUACUGGGUGUAAAGGGAGCGCAGGCGGUCUGGCAAGUCUGAUGUGAAAGGCCGGGGCUCACCCCCGGGACUGCAUUGGAAACUGUCAGAGUG
rnacentral:rRNA from 1 species